rnacentral:rRNA from 1 species
AGAGUUUGAUUCUGGCUCAGGACAAACGCUGGCGGUGCGUCUUAGGCAUGCAAGUCGUACGAGAAAGUGAGCAUCGGUUCACUAGUAAAGUGGCAAACGGGUGAGUAAUGCCUGGACAAUCUACCUUUCAGUUCGGAAUAACUUCGGGAAACCGGGGCUAAUACCGGAUAUGCUCACGCUAUCGCAUGGUAGAGUGGGGAAAGGCGGCCUCUAUUUAUAAGCUGUCGCUGAGAGAUGAGUUCAGGUCUCAUUAGCUUGUUGGUGGGGUAACGGCCUACCAAGGCAACGAUGGGUAGCCGGCCUGAGAGGGUGAUCGGCCACACUGGGACUGAGAUACGGCCCAGACUCCUACGGGAGGCAGCAGCUUGGAAUCUUGGACAAUGGGCGAAAGCCUGACCCAGCGACACCGCGUGAGUGAGGAAGGCCUUCGGGUCGUAAAGCUCUUUUAGGGGAGAAGAAAAAACACGGUGAUAAUAACAUCGUGUCUUGACGUUAUUCCCAGAAAAAGCCACGGCUAACUCUGUGCCAGCAGCCGCGGUUAUACAGAGGUGGCAAGCGUUGUCCGGAAUUACUGGGCGUAAAGGGCUCGUAGGCGGCUGGGUAAGUCGAAUGUGAAAGCCCGUGGCUUAACCACGGAAGUGCAUUCGAUACUGUCCGGCUGGAGUUCAGGAGGGGAGAGCGGAACUCCUAAUGAGCGGUGGAAUGCGUAGAUAUUAGGAGGAACACCGGUGGCGAAGGCGGCUCUCUAGCCUGUAACUGACGCUGAGGAGCGAAAGCUAGGGUAGCGAACGGGAUUAGAUACCCCGGUAGUCCUAGCCGUAAACGAUGAGCACUAGGUGUGGGGGGUAUCGACCCCCUCUGUGCCGAAGCUAACGCAUUAAGUGCUCCGCCUGGGGAGUACGGUCGCAAGGCUGAAACUCAAUGAAAUUGACGGGGGCCCGCACAAGCGGUGGAGCAUGUUGCUCAAUUCGAUGCAACGCUAAGAACCUUACCCGGGCUAGAAUUCCUAUUGACCGCCUGUGAAAGCAGGUUUUCCUUCGGGACAGUAGGAAAGGUGCUGCAUGGCUGUCGUCAGCUCGUGUCGUGAGAUGUUGGGUUAAGUCCCGCAACGAGCGCAACCCCUAUUUUCAGUUGCCAGCGGUUCGGCCGGGCACUCUGGAGAGACUGCCGGUGGUAAGCCGGAGGAAGGUGGGGAUGACGUCAAGUCCUCAUUGCCCUUAUGUCCGGGGCUGCAAACGUGCUACAAUGGUCUGCACAAUGAGUUGCGACGCCGCGAGGUGGAGCUAAUCUCAAAAAGCAGGCCUCAGUUCGGAUUGGAGGCUGCAACUCGCCUCCAUGAAGCUGGAAUCGCUAGUAAUCGCGUAUCAGCAUGACGCGGUGAAUACGUUCCCGGGCCUUGUACACACCGCCCGUCAACUCACUAAAGCUGAUUGUACCCGAAGUCGCUGAGCUAACCGCAAGGAGGCAGGCGCCGAAGGUGUGAUUAGUGAUUGGGAGUAAGUCGACAAGGUA